UACGUAGGGUGCGAGCGUUGCCCGGAUUUAUUGGGCGUAAAGGGCGCGUAGGCGGCCUGGCGCGUCGGCUGUGAAAUCUCCCGGCUCAACUGGGAGGGGACGGCCGAUACGGCUGGGCUUGAGCGAGGUAGGGGAGAGUGGAAUUCCCGGUGUAGUGGUGGAAUGCGUAGAUAUCAGGAGGAACACCGGUGGCGAAGGCGGGUCUCUGGGCCGAUACUGACGCUGAGGAGCGAAAGCGUGGGGAGCGAACAGG
rnacentral:rRNA from 1 species